GGAACUCCCCCCUGGACUUCCCCGCAAAGCCCACAGCGUUCGAUCAACUCAGCCACAAUCGGUGUUCUGAUCCGAAGAUCCUUUGCAGAGUUGGGUUUCUUCUCGAUUCAGCUCUUACUCGAAGACAAACCUGGCUGGCUUUUCCAUCUCUUUAUUUUUUUAAAGAAUAUAUUUGGGGUUUAUGGGUAAUGAGGAACAUGGUGGUAGAUUUCUUCUGAAGCCGAGUCGAAGAUGAUGCAAAAUUUAUUUCUUUGCUUUUUUAUUAAUGUGGAAAGGAAGAUGAUUUAAUAGUAGAGAAAAAGGAUUCGUGUAUCCAGUUGGUCAAUGAUUUGAUAAAGUUGCAUUUUCCCC